AGCAGAAGAGGAAGUUGGAGGCAUGUGAGGUGCAGGAAGGAUUCUAAGCAGUGGUGCUGGCUUUGAAGAUGGAAGGCAUUGUACCUCAAUGAAUGUGACUGGUUUCUAGAAGCUGAGAGUAGCCAGCCCCCAGCUGACAGCCAACAAGGAAACAGGGACCUUGGUUCUCCAACCACAGAAAAUAGAUUCUACCAACAAGAAUGAGCUUGAAAGCAGAUUCUUCCCUCGCACUUAAAGAUUCAUUCUCCAUGCCUCAGUACUCUGUGCUAUUUCCCAGAAGGCUGAUCCUUAAGGACUACACCUGUGGGAUCCCUUGUCACUGGCAAUGGGACAAUGGGAGGUGCCAGCAGAAAAUCAGAGUGAUGAAGAAUGAGGUCUGGGUAUUUAUCUCCUGGCUUUCUGUAAGUAUACAAGGUGAUAAAAAGGAAAAUGAUUCCUAACAACUUGGGGGUAUGUGGAAGCAGGGGAAGGGGGUGCUGUGGGCUGAACUGUGUUUCCUCAAAGUCAUAUGCUGAAGCUCAAACUCCUAAUGUGACUGUAUUUGGAGCAGGGGCUUUUAAGAAGUAAAGUUAAAAGAUGUCACAA
rnacentral:lncRNA from 1 species